UUUUUUUGCCUGAUUCCCUACCUAAGUCAUGUAAUAAUGUUGUAAAGAAAUGAAGAAAACCAAAAAAAAUUGUGGUCAGUUCCUUGCCAUUGUAUUGAUCUGGGGAGUCCUCCAUCUUAAAAACUGCCAUGUCAGGGAUGGCGGGAAAGAUGUUCUUGCCUAGUUUUUACUAUUUCUCUAGCCUGCAGAGAAGCAAAAAGAAUGCAUUAUUUCAUGACUUCUACACUGAAUCACUUUCUCAUUUAUUUUCACAGGGAAAAAUCAAACAAAAGCACAUGAUAUAUACAUGAGUAAUCAACAUGUAUACAAGAUGCACCCUGCUAUCUGCUAUAAUUUGGCACCAGAGACUAUCCAGUGCUUGCUAUCUGCUCAAACAUUGUGCCAAAAAAUGCUAACAUUCCAGGGAGCAGUAAACAAUACUCUGAAGAAAAUACUAGUACGUUCAGAGCAAAAAUUUGAACUCAAAAAGCCUGCAUGUAGAUACGCAAAAAAACAGCAAACCUGCAUCCGCAAAAGAAAAUUCAGUUCCGAAAAAAGACUCCACUAAAACAUGUAUGUAUAUUUCUAGCAACGUUAUAUAUCCACUCUCCAAUACCACUUCCCCUGUCUUAUUUGUGCCGUGCGGGGAGAGCCAUGUUAAUAUCUCUGUGCCCGGCUGGCCACAACCUACUUAACAUCAACCGCGACAAAGAAACUUGCCCACUGUAAAUAGUCUCUGGUGCAUCAGCUUGAAAAAGGGAUCCACCGCGACAGAGAAACUUGCCCACUGUAAAUAGUCUCUGGUGCAUCAGCUCAAAAAAGGGAUCCACCACGACAGAGAAACUUGCCCGUUGUAAAUAGUCUCUGCUGCAUCAGCUCGAAAAAGGGAUCCACCGCAUCAGAGAGAGAUGCCCACUGUAAACUUGCCCCACGACCUACUGAACAUCAACAGCAAAACAGAGCCACAUUGCUCGGCUUGCCACUGAAUUGACCACUGUAAGUAGUAGCAUUGUCUACUUAACAUGAACCAUGAAUGAGAAACUUGCCUCCACCUGGAGGAAACCAAAUGCUACAAAAGUGCCCACUGUAAGUGGUAACAUUGCCUACUCAAAAGUGCUUGGGAUCAUCAGGGACGGGAUAGGGAAAACCUGAAAACACUACACUGUAAAUAUUGAAGUGAGAAAUAUUGCCUGUAAAACAAAACUGCUAUAGAUUUGCAGCAAAAUCUGCACAAAAUUGCUUGUAAAACUAAACUGCUACAGAUUCGCAGCAAAAUCUGCACAAAAUUGCCCACUAUAACCUGACAUUUGCUUACCUAUCGGUGGAAAACAGACCUGCAGCGUACAAAGCACCUAUCAUGAGAUCGGUUCCUUGCCUGCGAUGCACUACACAAAAAAUCGCUAUUGGUCCAAAACAAACCUGCAGCGUAGAAAACACCUGUCAUGGGAUCGGUUCCUUGCCUGCAAUGCACUACACAAAAAAUCACGUGAGAAAAUUUCUCUCUGCUUGCUACUAUUUGCUAUCAAAAUCGAAAAUUGAUUUUGGUUGGUAUUUUGCGCACGGGCUUCGCCGGGGCAUCGAUUCCUCGUCUCCUUACUCCUCUGUUGGCAACCCCGUCGUCCCCAUCCUUCCCCUCCCCCUGUCGUCCAUGUAGAUGACGCCGCCGUGUUUGUGAAACACCUCCCCUACCUCGCCCCUAGUUCUCGGAAAUUGGGGGAAAAUGGAGGAGCAGGGCGUGUAACUUACGUACUUUCUUCCCCACGGAGACGAAGCAUCUCGUCGCGCCCUCGUCGUCUUCGCGUCGCCGAUUUGUCCGCUUGUACCUUCUUCAUCCCAUUCACUGGCCGCGCAGUCACCCUCUCAAUCGGAACUGGGGGGUGCUUCGCCUCCACGCCCCGCUUGAUUCGUCACCGUCGUUUGAUCUCUCGCCGGCUGCGGUCGUCGACAACCAGGGAUUUCUCUCCCUUUGCUGCUGAAGAGGUGGGUGUGAGGAGAGGAGGGGGAUGCGUACGACAAAACGCCACCGCUAUCUCUUCCUCCGGUAUCGGAUCUGUCCACCACGUGGCAGGAUCGUGUCGCGUGACCGACG
rnacentral:lncRNA from 1 species